GAUGAAGAACGUAGCGAAAUGCGAUAAGUAAUGUGAAUUGCAGAAUUCAGUGAAUCAUCGAAUCUUUGAACGCACAUUGCGCCCGCCAGUAUUCUGGCGGGCAUGCCUGUCCGAGCGUCAUUUCAACCAUCAAGCCCCCGGGCUUGUGUUGGGGACCUGCGGCUGCCCGCAGGCCCUGAAAACCAGUGGCGGGCUCGCUGUCACACCGAGCGUAGUAGCAAUCACCUCGCUCAGGGCGUGCUGCGGGUUCCGGUCGUUAAACAGCCUUACAAAACCCAAGGUUGACCUCGGAUCAGGUAGGAAGACCCGCUGAACUUAAGCAUAUCAAUAAGCGGAGGA
rnacentral:misc_RNA from 1 species